GCAUGUUGCCGGUUGGAGGGUUUCGCGAAAAAGUUAGCAAAGUGCUUCUGAACGCCACUGGAAUGAAGGGAUUCUCCGGUAUGGGGCAUCAUUUGUGAUUUCUGGAGAUGACUGAAACUUUGAAGACCAGGUUUGAGUUCCCCAGCUCCCUCAUUCAAGCCCAGGCUGUGAGGACGCUGGUCACUGCAGUGCUGAAAGAGAAAGGCCAAAAUGAAAGGAUUUGUCAGACCACAGCUAAAG